rnacentral:rRNA from 1 species
ACCCGCACAAGCAGCGGAGCGUGUGGUUUAAUUCGAUGCUACACGAAGAACCUUACCAAGGUUUGACAUGUAAGUGGUAGUGAUCUGAAAAGUGAACGACCCUUCGGGGAGCUUACACAGGUGCUGCAUGGCUGUCGUCAGCUCGUGUCGUGAGAUGUUCGGUUAAGUCCGCUAACGAGCGCAACCCUCACUGUGUGUUACAUGUGUCACACGGGACUGCCGGUUUUAAGCCGGAGGAAGGCGAGGAUGACGUCAAGUCAGCAUGGCCUUUAUAUCUUGGGCUACACACACGCUACAAUGGUCUGUACAAUAGGUUGCCAAGCCGCGAGGCGGAGCCAAUCCUUAAAGCAGGCCUCAGUUCAGAUUGCAGGCUGCAACCCGCCUGCAUGAAGAUGGAGUUGCUAGUAACCGCAGGUCAGCUAUACUGCGGUGAAUACGUUCCCGGGUCUU